AUCUUGCUGGAGGUCUCUGCUGACCUGAAGCCUUCUAAGCAUGCCUGGCUCCUGUGCUUUGCAGAGGAUGCUCCACUUCGCCUGCAGCGAUGCUUCCAGGAGGAGGUCAGCAGCUGAGGAAUGGGCCUUAUUUUCCUUCCCAAAUCCUACAGGGAAGAAGCGACCGCAUGCUAGUCAUUGUUUUGAGAUUAUUUAAGAAACCACUGCUAUUGAACUAGCAGGAGAUCCUCUCAUCUGUGACCUAUGCCAGAUCCAUCUGAUUGUUGUGCCCCAGCUGCAGGCCGUAAUUUUCAUGGGAAAGUUUUAAGAAUGCCUGAAGAGUGACCGUCCUCUUUGCUACCCCUCACUGAUUUGUAUGGACGUCUCCUGGCCUCUCCAACAGCACUGUGGAGGGGGUUGUUUGAUUUCUUUUUAAACGUUGUCCUGCCUUCCUCCUCUUUUUUGACAAAACUGUACAUACAUGAAGACUCACUGUGUGUUGAGCAUGGCACAUGAAUGGAGGGACCACUUUGAACUACUUUUGCAACGAGGGAUUCUGCUCGACUGAUAAUGAAACUGUGGGAUAGACCUCGGGGAGUUGAGGGCACCUUGUAGGAGUUGGCUCACAGUACUCCUUCAGAGAAGAGACAGUCUGUCCUGAAAGCCUGCAUACUUCAUUUUGCUUGCAGAGCCUGGAGCUUUUCAUAGCCUGGAGCUUUUCAUCUCAUUGCCUGGACAUAAGGGUAAAAUCCAAUCUCUACAAUUUACCACUCUCUAUUUGUCAGCAUGACUCUGAGAAAAGCACUAGUGGUUCUGUAAAGCCAUCAUCCUCUUCUUCUGCCACUGCGAGGAUACAGAACCUCUGGAAGUCACUUCUUAUUUAUGUCCUAGGCCUAGGCUGGAGGUUAGGGCUGUAUUAAGGAGUAUGGUCUCACAUGCUUUCCUGUCCACGUACUCCCCUGAAGACAUUACUGCAGACAGAGUUUUGAUGAGGUCCAGAAUUGCCUUCCUACAACCCAACCGGAUUGCCUCUGGGGAGUAUGAAACCCUCAGUGCUGCCUCAAAGGAACUGUUUUUUUCUGGGACAUUCCUCACGUUCCUCCCCUGCUCAUGCUAGUGAUGAGUUUGAAGCAGGACACGGCUGUGCCAGGUAUUUAGUCCUGAAGGUGUGAGUUGAAUGUCAGGAAAUAUGUUAUUUCCACUGGUGAGGAUGAGAAGGAGCCUGCUGGAGGUGAAGAGAAGCUCCAAGCAUACAGCUCUGAAGAGAGCAAGGGUAGUUACGGUUGGAGAGUGCAUCUGUGCAUCCCACAGCCUGUUUUGGCAGCAUCUUCAGCUGCUGAGAGACAUUUCUUCUCUGGAUUUGGCAUCCUGGGGGGACCCCGUCUGGAGCUUUUGGGGCUUAGGGGGCAGUAGCUGUCUCUGGCACUUCUCUGACUCUAUGGGAAGAGUAUGCCAAUGGCUUCUCUGGGUUCUGGGAUAUCCUUCCCUCCCAGCACACUUGUUUCCUCUGCUGUACUCUGUGCCCCUCCUGGUAGUGCUCUCUGCUCCCAUUAGUAUCCUGGCAGCGUGUGACAGGGCUGAAGGGAUGUGAUCCGGAGCUAUUGCUGUCUUCCUUGUUCCAUGGGCACACCACGACUGUGUUCUGGAACAACAUUUAAUUAAAGAAAAAGCACUCCAGAACAAGGAUGAAACAGAGCAUUAUAAAAUCAAUGUUAGCAAUCUGUUUAAAGGGCAAAGUUGUACAAGGCUUGAGUGACAAGAUUUCUUCUUACUGCACCAGUCUCCAUCUUAUAGUUUGAUCUCCAGAUGGCUGUGAUAAUUCUCAAUCUGGAAAAAGUAUAUUAAUGAAGAUUUUUUUAAAACUGCAUGCGAUAUGAAUUCCCUUUGUAAUUGAAGCUAUCAUUUUUUUUUCCUUCAUUUUGUUCAAAGAUAAAUUCACCAGGGAAUUGUAGCCCCUUCCUACCAGACAAAAUUGACAUCAUUUGCUUAGCUUGAAAGCUACACCAUUUGGAAUGCAGGAUAAUUUUUUCUUUGAAUAACCAGAUAAAUAAAAGAAAGUCUUGCUGUUGUUCAUUGGAGUGUUGACUCUUGAAGAAUUAUUCAGCCCAUGAGAAGAAGACAGUUUUGUACUGUAUUGAAAUGACUAUAGUAGAAGCCAUAAAUGCUGGUGUAGGAAAGGCAUGCACCGGACUAGCAGAGAUUUCUUCUAACCUGGUGUCUUGGGAGAGGAAACUGUUGGGAGGAGAUAGGCUUAUUUCAGCAGGGGAGAAGAAAAAACCACGAGUAAUUACUUCAGAUAAAGAAUUUUUCAUGUGU
ensembl:lncRNA